GGUGGGGCUUGAUCCCAGGAACCUUGAGAUCAUGACCUGAGCCAAAAUCAAGAAUCAGAUACCUAACUGACUAUGCCACUCAGGCACCCCAGAGACAGAAGGGUUAUUUUAAAGACUGAAUGACAGUACUAUGUGCAUGGCCUGUAAUAAAGGUUCACUAAAACUGGUUAUUGCUAGUAUUGUUAUGCAAAUUACAUCAGUUUUGUAAUAGAAGUUGAAGACAAAACACAGCACAGAGGUAGGAGCAAUAGAAGUUGAAGACAAAACACAGCACAGAGGUAGGAGCAUUGCCUUCCUAAAUAUCUACUCAUCGAAUUAUCAUUGGGUAAGAAAGGCAGAGUGGACUGAGAGAAGUUUAGAAUCCAGUAAAGCAGAGUUCACGUCUCGGCCCAGCCAUAGGCUUCGUGAGUUGCUUAGGCAACUUCCUAAGCUUUUCUGAGUUUUAGUGUUUUCCUGUACAAAUGGAGACAACCUGUCUUGCAGUGUUCAGGGCAAUAUCUGUGAAGCUAACACCUAGAGUGCUGAGUACAGGGCCCAGCAUACGAAGAAUUUGCCAUAAAAAGGUAGCAAAUGUGAUAGUGAGGAAGAGGGGUGUAUAAGUGGAUAAGGUUUGAAUCAGGACCCGAAGUUCUGAUCCACCGUAAGUGAGAAUUCUUUUACUUGGAGACAUACUAACUCUCGAACUGGUAUUAAGAGGCUCUGCAGGCUUCUGUGUUUCUCUCAGUCUCCAUCCUUGUUCAGACUUCAGCCACGCUGAGAGUCUUCCUACAGACCUUGCUUCACUUAGGAAGAAAAGGGACGCUGAAGACGGACGGACGGGUAAAACAGAACCUCCGCAUCUUCUCCGUUAGUGGCACAGAUGGCUCCUUUUAAAACCACACCAGGCAGAGUUUUGCCUUUUGCAUUUUAAAGUCAGAAGUCAUAAAUUCUUAUCAUCUGUCUCCACGUUCAAAUACUAAGACUGUCACAUGGCCACAGUUCUGGGAGGAAGGGCCCCUUGGGUUAUUGUAAAACUAGAUGGUUAUGAUGUACAGUUCACGCUAAUGAAGGUAGGCUUCCAGUCAGGAAGUGGAGUCACUCCCUGCGGUGAGGCCGUUAAGUAGCCAGGAAUGAGACAUGUCUAUAAUUAGAGAGGCAUUAGGCGUUAGUGAUCCCAGUGACCAGGGAGCCUGUGCCCGGUGGACUAGUCAGACUGGCUGGCUACCCACCCAGAGCAAUUUCCUCCAUCUUUCAAAGUCCGAAGCAAUGUAAUGAGGGGUGGGCUAACAAAUUCCACUGAGCUAAAAUCAUCCAUUCAAAAACAAUAAUAACUCUUGUGAAAAACAGACUCGGAAACUGUGUACGCGUAGAGCAAGAACAAAGCAAAACAAAAAUCCAUGGUAUCCAGAAAACCAGCAGAUUGAUAAGGCAAAACAAGGCAAAAGCAAAUGUCACAACUAUGAGUAGCAAAUCACAGAGUAAUUUCACUCCAUUGUUCAUCUUAAUCCUUCACAGGAUCUGAAAAUAAAACAGCCAAGAAGUCCAGGACGAGUCAUUACAUUUUUCUGGAAUAUAUAUUUAUUAAGAAUGCAGAAAGUGUUCAAUGUCAAGGGCCCCAGCAUAAUCAUCAAGAACAUUUUGAAAAUGUGAGCUUUGGAAAAGACGGCAGAAAUGUUACUUUACCUUCAUUGUUUCGCCGAUGAAAAAAGUCAAAGCAGGGAGGAACAGAAGGAGAAUUGAUGUAACCUCCGCUAUUAUUAAGAUGCAUAUUUUUCUGUGCAUUUUCUAGCCUUAAUUUCUCAUUCUUUUCCUUAUUUGAUCCACUGAGACAGUGGCGUAUCAUUACUCACUUGUUACACACAAGAACACUAAAUACCAGACAGGAUGAAUACAUUUUAAAUGCCCAUCUUUGAAAUCAGCUCCCUCUGAAGCUGUGUUCCUAAUAAGUGCACAGCAUGUGUCUCGUCUAAUAUUUCAGAGCUACCAGUAUUGGUAGAGCCAGAAUUGAGAUCCAGAUUCUGUGGUGUCAGGCAACCCUCCUGGUAGGCCGGACUGCAAGCCUAUAAAUUCUGAACACAUCUCUGUGGACUGUUUGCUUCUAGUUGUGGAAAUUCAAUGGUAUUAAAAAGGAAAGUUCCCUGGAAGAAGUGAGUUAAUCCAGAAACUGUCCAGUGGUACUGUAAUAAUUUUCCUUGUUUAUUUACAUAUUUCAUCUGUUGUGUUCAUCGGUUUAUCCUUAUUUCCUAGAACAGAGCCUGGAACACUGUAAGUGCCUAAUUAAUAGCUUUUAAGAUGAGCGACUUUAUUAUGUGUCUACAAUAUGCUGCUAGACCCUGUUUAAGGGGCUAGGACAAUGGUGAAGAAAUAAAGGUUCUACAAUAUGGAACUUCUAGUAGUUGAGAGAGAUAGUCAGUGAACACACAAAUACCAAAAUAACUUUCAAAAGAAGGUAAUGAAGAAAAUAAAAUGGGACGAUGUGACACGGCGUAAGUUGGUGGGCACCUCGGGGGAGUUCUUUUCAAAGUGUUGGACGCUUGAGCUGAACUCUAAAUCUCAAGAAGAAUGCAGCUGUAUGAAAAUCUGUGGGGAGAGGAAUUCCAGAUAGAGAGGACAGCAGGUGCACAUGCUCUAAGGCCGGAAUAAGAUGGGGGACUCUGAGGAAGAGAAGGAAGCGUGGCUUGAGCUGAGAGGAUGCGCAGGAAUGUGAAAGGAAGGGAGGCAGAAGACGUAGGUGCAGGAUGGAGACUGGCGGCCCCUGGGGGACUUCAAAAAUACUGAUGCCCAUGAUAGAUUCCAGUUAUAAGGGGGACCAUACAUUUCCCUGUUUGACUUGUGUCAUGUAGCAUCAUGCCCUCAGGUUUUAUCCAUGCUGUUGCAAGGGGCAGGAUUUCCCUCUUCUUCUUACAGCUGAUUAAUAUUCUAUUACAUGUGUUACAUAUAUCACAUUUUCUUUAUCCAUUCCUCCCUCAAUAGACUUAGCUUGGCCAUUGGGAAUAAUGUUGCAAUGAACGUGGCGGUGUAGAUAUCUCUUCAAGAUUAUAAAGAUGGAGAGACAGACAGGAAAUUCUUUCAGAUUGCUAAAUCAAUCUAAGAAGUAGUAACACCACAGUGUCAUCCUCAGAACACAUACUAAGAAAACAGGACAUGUUUGGAAAUUGACACCGGCACUCAGGAUCAGAAUUGGAAGACACUUUAAUGAAAUCUAAGGCAAAUAAAAUGCCAUGUUAAUAAAGCGGAAAUUCUUGGUAAAAUAAAUAAUGUCAUAUAAUACUCAUUUGUACACGUGUUAUAUGAAAGAACUCCUUCCUCACUGUAGUAUUAAAAGGACUAAUCUAGACAUUUUGAGUGACAUUCCAAGGUUAAUGUUCCUAGUGAAUGUCAGAGAUUUUUAGAACCCUGGUUACCAAUAUUCUUUAUACAUUGUGUAAAAAUGUAGACUAAAGGUGAUGAUAUAUUUAUUAUAUAUAUAACAAAGUAGGGUGGCCAUAUAAUUUAUCAUCAAGCCAGCACCCUUUUGGAGACGAAGGAUGCUGAUAAUAACUGCAUCAGGAUAUGGAACAUAAACACAGAUUUUCCUGGACUGACAGAGACACUUGCUUCCCCUAGAAAGGGUUAUCACAACUUCACGCACAGGACAGUAAGGGAGGAAGUUUCGGCUUGCUUCACGAUCAGAGAAAAUGUGACGUUUUGCAAAUUUAAAUACAUUCUCUGUCCCCAUCUCAUUAACAGCAGAAUGUAUAUCUCAAACAUCAAGUGUGGAACAGGUGCUCACAUGUGCUGUGAUUAUUUGGAUACAGGGAACAUACAGAUAUGGGGUAGUUUUUGACCUAAGAAAAUUAGAGUCAAAAGUCUAAGAACAAGGAAAGACCAAGGGAAGUAAGUUGAUUCAUAAGAGCUUUGUUAUAAUUUUAAAUCAUAGGACAAAGUCCUUGGAACUAAUUUUUAACACAAGUUUUCACUAAAACUGAAUUAAAACUAUAAGUUAAUUUUAUAGAUUCAGUUAUGACUAUCUAAGUAUCCCACUUUCAAUAUAUUUGAUUCAUGGCUGAACAUAAUGUGUAUGUGGUUUUUUUUCUACAUUAUAAACUAGAACUUUUUCUUAUUAUAUUUAUUAUGACUCCUAUUAGAAAAAAACAUAUUCUAUGAAGUGAGUUUACUCAGUUAUUUGCAUGACAUUUUAACCCAAAGUUGUGAUUGCCUGUCAAAGGGUAACAGGAAUAAACAUUUUCUCAUUUAUCCUCUCACUCAAUAAAUAUUCAUCACAAUGAUUCUCAAAAUUAGCAGAAAUAAGAGUUAACCUGGAGGGAGGGCUAGUCACAGCACAGCUUACUGGAGCCUGGCUUCAGAGUUUGAGAUUCAGGGGGAAUACGGUAGGGUCUAAGAAUUGGCAUUUCUAACAUGUUUCUAAAAAGUUGCCAGGUCAUUCUACCGCUGCUGGUCUGGGCGCUACACUUUGAGGAAAUGCUGAUGUAUUGAACAUACAAUAUUUGCCGAGUGCUGUGUGCUGGGGAGACAGCAAUAAAUGGCAAAACAGGCAAACAUCCCUGACCUCAGGGACUGUAUGUUCUAGUGGACGGAGACAUCCAAUAAAUACGUAAUUAAAAUAUACGGCAUGUUAGGUAGUAGUAAAUGGCAUGCCGUGAAGAAAACAAUACAAGAAGCGGAAUGUUUGA